UACGUAGGGUGCAAGCGUUGUCCGGAAUUAUUGGGCGUAAAGAGCUCGUAGGCGGUUUGUCGCGUCUGCUGUGAAAACUCGGGGCUUAACUCCGGGCCUGCAGUGGGUACGGGCAGACUAGAGUGCGGUAGGGGAGACUGGAAUUCCUGGUGUAGCGGUGAAAUGCGCAGAUAUCAGGAGGAACACCUAUUGCGAAGGCAGCUCGCUGGGACGUUACUGACGCUGAGACGCGAAAGCGUGGGGAGCAAACAGG
rnacentral:rRNA from 1 species